rnacentral:rRNA from 1 species
UACAGAGGUCUCAAGCGUUGUUCGGAUUCAUUGGGCGUAAAGGGUGCGUAGGUGGCGCCGUAAGUCGGGUGUGAAAUUUCGGAGCUUAACUCCGAAACUGCAUUCGAUACUGCGGUGCUUGAGGACUGGAGAGGAGACUGGAAUUCAUGGUGUAGCAGUGAAAUGCGUAGAGAUCAUGAGGAAGACCAGUGGCGAAGGCGGCGACCUGGACAGAUACUGACACUAAACUACGAAAGCGUGGGGAGCAAACAGG